GACGAACGCUGGCGGCGUGCCUAACACAUGCAAGUCGAACGGAGUUAAGUGCUUCGGUAUUUAACUUAGUGGCGAACGGGUGAGUAACGCGUGAGAAACCUGCCUUUCAGUGGGGGACAACAGUUGGAAACGACUGCUAAUACCGCAUAAGCCCACAGCUCGGCAUCGAGCAGAGGGAAAAGGAGUGAUCCGCUUUGAGAUGGCCUCGCGUCCGAUUAGCUGGUUGGUGAGGUAACGGCCCACCAAGGCAACGAUCGGUAGCCGGACUGAGAGGUUGAACGGCCACAUUGGGACUGAGACACGGCCCAG
rnacentral:rRNA from 1 species